rnacentral:tRNA from 1 species
GCCGCCUUAGCUCAGCUGGUUAGAGCGCCAGAUUGUGGAUCUGGAGGUCCGUGGUUCGAUCCCACGAGGCGGUACCA